GACGAACGCUGGCGGCGUGCUUAACGCAUGCAAGUCGAACGGAAAGGCCCUGCUUUUGUGGGGUGCUCGAGUGGCGAACGGGUGAGUAACACGUGAGUAACCUGCCCUUGACUUUGGGAUAACUUCAGGAAACUGGGGCUAAUACCGGAUAGGAGCUCCUGCUGCAUGGUGGGGGUUGGAAAGUUUCGGCGGUUGGGGAUGGACUCGCGGCUUAUCAGCUUGUUGGUGGGGUAGUGGCUUACCAAGGCUUUGACGGGUAGCCGGCCUGAGAGGGUGACCGGCCACAUUGGGACUGAGAUACGGCCCAGACCCCUACGGGAGGCAGCAGUGGGGAAUAUUGCACAAUGGGCGGAAGCCUGAUGCAGCAACGCCGCGUGCGGGAUGACGGCCUUCGGGUUGUAAACCGCUUUCGCCUGUGACGAAGCGUGAGUGACGGUAAUGGGUAAAGAAGCACCGGCUAACUACGUG
rnacentral:rRNA from 1 species